rnacentral:lncRNA from 1 species
AAGCCCUCUGCUUACUGAGCCAUAUCUGAAGCCAGAGCUGUAGUUUCUACCACAGCUUGGUGCCAUGGUUCAUGUCUGUAAACCCAGCGAAUGAGAGGCUGAGGCAGAAGAAUCUGUUUGAGUUUUAGACUAAGUCUUAGCAAAAUAGAGGCCAUCAUGAGUUGUAAAGUGAGAAACUUGUUCAACAAGACAAAAGCAAACUCCCUAUAAACAAUGCCCCCCACCAAAGAAAAGCCACAGCAACAACAACAACAAUAACAAUAACAAACAUGUAUAUUUUAGUGGUGAAUUGUUAAAAUGAUGUCACAGGUACUAAUUUUUACUCUUCAUUGUUAGCUACUUGUUCAUACUUUGUUUCCUUCAAGCUUGUUAGUUAGGGCAUUUCUUGGGCUGUGUAUAUAAGAAGGAUCAUUUGGGCUGGUGAGGUGACUUGGUAGACAAUGGUCUUUGCUGCCUCUGGGACUUACAUGGUACAAGAAGAGAACUAGCCACCCCCCGCCCCAAGUUAUCCACUAACACCCACAACUUCUCUCUCUCUCUCCCUCUCUCUUUCUCUCUCUCACACACACACACCAUACAAAAAAUAAAUAACUGCAAUUAAAAAAUAUAUUCCAGUAAUAUACUACCACUUAAAUAUUGUGAUCUCUUACUGAAUGAUACACACAUUUGUAGUUUGAAGAUGAAUUAAAUCUUAAUUGUCCUUUAAGUCCCGUGUGACACAGGCUUAGUCUCCAACAUGGGACUAUGGCUGGUGGUAGAACCUUAAAGAGGCAGGAAUUUUGCAGGAGCGGGAACCUUCAGAUACCUACUGCUUGCUCUUGAAGGGAGAAGCCCCUUUGCCUUUCUGUCCUUUGUUUCCUGUCCAUGACACCAACUCUUUUGUUCUAGAAGGCACUUCCUGCAAUGGACUGGCCUCCCUGCUGAAGGCUUAGAAGCUUUAUAGCCAUAAACUAGUGGUUUUCCAUCUUUCAAACACUAUGGCCCUUUAAUAAAGUUCCUAAUGUUGUAGGAACCCCCAACCGUAAAAUUAGACCAUGGAGGAGAUUCCAAACUCUUAAUAUUCUCUCUCUCCUCUUCUUUCCUGUUACCUCUUUACUCCUCUCUCCCACCUCUCCCUAUCUUUUCUUCUUGUCUUGAUCUGGCUAUAUGUAUUCACCAGUCUUUCUUCCUCAGCCUCCGGGAUGAAUAAUUUUCUUUCUUAAGAAGACCCUGGCCAGGACUGGGGAGCUAGCUUAGACUCUAAGUUGCCAGAAUCACAAGUGUAGAAUCCUCAACACCCACUGCAAAGUUGGACUCCAGUCUGUAACCUGAGCUGAGGGUGCAGAAACAGGAGCUUCUCUGAUGCUCAGUAGCCAUCUAGCCUAGCUAAACUGAUGAACUCCAGGCUCAUAGAGAAACCCUGUGUCAAAACAAAACAAAACAACAAUGAAAACAACAACCAAAUGUGGAAAAAUAGCCUCCACAAACCACUGACUUUCAUUUUUAUGUAAUGAGAAUUCUAAAUUGUUAGACCCAUCAUGUGUAGAUUUUGAGGCUAUUGAGUCAAGCUAGCAUCAACUCAGUUAACAUCACCAUAGCCAUUUUUAUUAGUGAUGAAAAAUAUCAAAGCAACAAAAAUAAUUAUUGUAAUUAAUUUAAAAAUCGAUGCAAAUACUGAUGUUAAGUUAGGGAGUGGGUAGUGAUGAUGUUGGAAUGUCCAGUAUUGUAAGUAGGUCUGAAAAUCACAUCUUGCAGGAAGUUGGGAAGGGCCCAUCUCUUCUUUCUAAGAGCUCAAAUUUCCAUUGUCAGUCAGAUUUGUCAGCUCAGAUUCUCUCAGGUCUCUUUGUUAGUGGGAGGCCAUAUGAUUUUGUUCUCAGAAAUAGGAUGCAAAUUGGAGAGAAUGAGCAAUUGGCCCCAGUGACGUCUUUGCCUUCUUUCUGCUGGCUGGAGAAACAGGUGAAUGUUGGGAACAAGGUGGGCCAGAGGGCAGAUGUCCUGAGUUAAACAGAGCACAGCAUUAAUGGGGCCAGAGGGACGGCUUCUUAUUAUCACUUUUCCAGUGCUGGCUCUGUGUUUAGGUAAUAAGAUGAUUUUCUCUCUUGUUUAAGUCACUGCUAGUGUUAGGUUAUUUGUUUAUUUUUGUUGAACUUCAUCCUGUUUUAAUAGAUGAGGAGACGGGUUUUAUCAAGGUUGGUCGGCAAGCCAGGAAGGUGAAGUGAGUGAAUAAUGCAUGAAAGAGCUGUCUGUUAGGAGCUGCAGGGAUGUAAAUAAGGCCAAGGCCAAGGUCAUCCACCUUUAUCUAGGUAGAAAAUGCAGAUAGGAAUGCCCGAAAGCUGACUC